rnacentral:lncRNA from 1 species
CCAGACGGGAUGCAUGAUCUGCAUGGCAUUGAUUUAAUGCUUCAGUAUCUAGACAACAGAAGAGUUUUGGUUGGAUAAUCAAGCCUGUUUUACCCCUGAUACUUUGCAUGGGAACUCAAGCCAGAAAAAGCAAUCCAGUUCCUUUCAAGUUUAAUAGCAUAGUUAGUGCAAAUAGCUGGGACUGUAUGAAUAACAAACUAUUUUCUACAUCCGCAACAAGAUGAAAGAACUAUCCCUUCCACAUAAAAGAGCAUUACAAGCAAACAUAAGAAAAUCGGAUGUGCACACAACAGUAAAAAAACAUGUACACACAACUGCAUAGAGCGUACCUGAGAUGCUCUCGCCAGCUCCAAUGUAGAUGCUCUCGCCAGCUCCAAUGUAGGUGCAGUGAAUAUGCAAGCACUACAUACAAUAUAUAAGAGUGAGUGUAUCAUCUUAGCAAACCGGCAAUUAUAGUGUUUAUUAAUUGUUUUCCUUGGGAUUUUGCUGUUUUUGAAGAUUUAAUUCGUAGAUGCCAGUUAAGGCACAGACCAUUAUGAUGCAUCAAGUUUUGGAUUGAUAAAUCUGUGCCAUGUUGACCAUACCUCUCCCAAAUAUGUGCAAUGUUUGUCAAAAUAAAAUGUUUGGCUAUAUUGUUCUUUUUGAAGUAGAAUAGAAAGAUCAAUUGCCUUUAGGGCUGUUCUUAUGAGCUGUUCAAGAGCCCAGAUUACCAUUAUUGGAGUGUCAGGCACUGAUAGUAAUGGACCCAUAUAGAACCAAUCAGUUUAUAUAUGCAAAUACAUAGAGAAGAAUGUCUUCUACAUGAGUACUGUCCUCACACUGUCACCUUCAGUUCUACAAAUGUGUCAAUUAAUCUGAAAGGAACAUAACCUACUCUAGGAAGCUAUUGUUUUGCCUGUAUAAAUUAUCAAUGUCUAUUGAAAGUGGCAAUCAACUACUCAAAUGAUGAUACUGGAUGAUACAGAAUAAUCAACUACUCAAAUGAUGAUACUGGAUGCAGGUAUAUGUUUUUAUGGCAUAAUGGGAAGCAUGUUUUUUGCAACAAGUUGGAUCGCAAACCCGAAUUUAAUUGAAAUAUCUGCAUAUCAGGAAGAAAACAAUAAUAAACUUGGCAAAAAGCAUUUCAUAAAUUUAGUACACAUUUGGGAGUUCAGAUUAUAAAGUCUGUGCUUACAGGUACGUAUGGGGAAUCCACAAAGCAAAGCAGCAGAAAAUAUGACAUCGAUGGCUGUACCUCCAGGUAUAUAUUAACCUAAAAAUCUUGCUAUACAUGUCAAGCUAGAUCCCAAUUGUG